rnacentral:rRNA from 1 species
AUUGAACGCUGGCGGCAUGCUCUACACAUGCAAGUCGAACGGUAACAGGCCGCAAGGUGCUGACGAGUGGCGAACGGGUGAGUAAUGCAUCGGAACGUGCCCAGUCGUGGGGGAUAACUACUCGAAAGAGUAGCUAAUACCGCAUACGAUCUAUGGAUGAAAGCGGGGGACCGUAAGGCCUCGCGCGAUUGGAGCGGCCGAUGUCAGAUUAGGUAGUUGGUGGGGUAAAGGCUCACCAAGCCAACGAUCUGUAGCUGGUCUGAGAGGACGACCAGCCACACUGGGACUGAGACACGGCCCAGACUCCUACGGGAGGCAGCAGUGGGGAAUUUUGGACAAUGGGCGCAAGCCUGAUCCAGCAAUGCCGCGUGCAGGAAGAAGGCCUUCGGGUUGUAAACUGCUUCUGUACGGAACGAAACGGCUCUGGUUAAUACCCGGGGCUAAUGACGGUACCGUAAGAAUAAGCACCGGCUAACUACGUG